rnacentral:rRNA from 1 species
AAGCUCGUAGUUGAAUUUCGGGAUUGACGUGAUGGUCAUGCCUUAAGGGGUAUGAACUGUUACUGUUGAUUUCUCACCUUCUGGAGAAACUUGAUGUCCUUUAUUGGGUGUCUUGCGGAUCCAGGACCUUUACCUUGAAAAAAUUAGAGUGUUUAAAGCAGGCAUUUUUGCUCGAAUACAUUAGCAUGGAAUAAUAGAAUAGGACGGCAUGGUUCUAUUUUGUUGGUUUCUAGGAUCACCGUAAUGAUUAAUAGGGAUAGUGGG